rnacentral:rRNA from 1 species
CGGGAAAAGCUCAAAUUUAAAAUCUGGUGGUCUUUGGCCAUCCGAGUUGUAAUCUAGAGAAGUGUUACCCGCGUCGGACCGUGUAUAAGUCUCCUGGAAUGGAGCGUCAUAGAGGGUGAGAAUCCCGUCUUUGACACGGACUACCGAGGCUUUGUGGUAUGCUCUCAAA